AGAGUUUGAUUAUGGCUCAGAACGAACGCUGGUGGCGUGUCUUAUACAUGCAAGUCGAGCGAGGCAGCAAUGCCGAGCGGCGAACGGGUGAGUAACGCGUAAGCAAUCUGCCCCAUAUCAGGAAAUACCCGUGCCAACGCGCGGUUAAUGUCCAGGAGAGUGGCCUUCCGCAUGGAAGGUUGACUAGAGAUUUAUCGGUAUGGGAUGAGCUUGCGUCCGAUUAGCUAGUUGGCGGGCAACGGCCCACCAAGGCGACGAUCGGUAGCCGGCCUGAGAGGGUGAUCGGCCACAUUGGGACUGAGAUACGGCCCAGACUCCUACGGGAGGCAGCAGUAGGGAAUAUUGCACAAUGGGGGAAACCCUGAUGCAGCAACGCCACGUGUGGGAAGAAGCAUUUCGGUGUGUAAACCACUGUCAUGAGGGAAUAAGGCCCGCCUUCGGACGGGAUUGAAUGUACCUUGAGAGGAAGCACCGGCAAACUUCGUGCCAGCCGCAGC
rnacentral:rRNA from 1 species